rnacentral:rRNA from 1 species
AUACGGAGGGUGCAAGCGUUAUCCGGAAUCAUUGGGUUUAAAGGGUCCGUAGGCGGAUUGGUAAGUCGGUGGUGAAAGUCUGCAGCUUAACUGUAGAAUUGCCAUUGAUACUGCUAGUCUCGAAUUACUGUGAAGUGAUUAGAAUGUGUAGUGUAGCGGUGAAAUGCAUAGAUAUUACACAGAAUACCAAUUGCGAAGGCAGAUCACUAACAGUAUAUUGACGCCGAGGGACGAAAGCGUGGGGAGCGAACAGGAUUAGAAACCCUAGUAGUCC